rnacentral:rRNA from 1 species
UCGGGAAUUUUGGGCAAUGGGCGAAAGCCUGACCCAGCAACGCCGCGUGAAGGAUGAAGUAUUUCGGUAUGUAAACUUCGAAAGAAUAGGAAGAAUAAAUGACGGUACUAUUUAUAAGGUCCGGCUAACUACGUGCCAGCAGCCGCGGUAAUACGUAGGGACCAAGCGUUGUUCGGAUUUACUGGGCGUAAAGGGCGCGUAGGCGGCAAUUCAAGUCAUCUGUGAAAUCUCCGGGCUUAACUCGGAACGGUCAGAUGAUACUGCUUUGCUAGAGUGCAGAAGGGGCAAUCGGAAUUCUUGGUGUAGAGGUGAAAUUCGUAGAUAUUCGGAAGAACACCAGUGGCGAAGGCGGCUCACUGGCCCGGUACUGACGCUGAGGUGCGAAAGCGUGGGGAGCAAACAGGAUUAGAUACCCAAGUAGUCCCUGAGCGGGCUGGCAAGGCGCAU